UGUCAUGAAGCGCAAGAAGAAAAAACUCAGAGAAUUCAAACUCAGCUGGAAACUGCUGGAGGAGCUGCCAGACACAAUCAAGGAAGAGGAGAAAUACUGGGGCCUGAGAAGAGAGAGAUUAAGAGAACCUAUCCAGGUGGGUAAAGGAAAAAGGCAAGGAAUGGAGCCAGGUGACUCAAGGCACUUACCUUGAAGUACUACAGAACGAACCCUGGAUGUCACUAAAACUGAGAUGUCACUGGCCUUUCGAAGACAAGACCUGAAGGGGCAGAGUACCUGAAACAUGGCUCACGUGAAGAGAUCAGAGGAGAAGGGAGGAAGUUGAGAUGCGUCCAGGAUGCAGACACGUUGCAGGUACAUUUGUGUGCAUGUCUUUCGAGUAGGGCUGGGAGGCC